AAGGAAUAUUGGACAAUGGAGGAAACUCUGAUCCAGCCAUGCCGCGUGAGUGAAGAAGGCCUUAGGGUUGUAAAGCUCUUUCAAUAGUGAAGAUAAUGACGGUAGCUAUAGAAGAAGCCCCGGCUAAAUUCGUGCCAGCAGCCGCGGUAAUACGAAUGGGGCAAGCGUUGUUCGGAAUCACUGGGCUUAAAGCGUGCGUAGGCGGAUUUGCAAGUCAGAAGUGAAAUCCCGGGGCUUAACCUCGGAACUGCUUUUGAAACUGCAAGUCUAGAAUCCGGUAGAGGUUAGGAGAAUUCCGAGUGUAGAGGUAAAAUUCGCAGAUAUUCGGAGGAAUACCAGUGGCGAAGGCGCCUAACUGGGCCGGCAUUGACGCUCAUGUACGAAAGCGUGGGGAGCAAAC
rnacentral:rRNA from 1 species